rnacentral:lncRNA from 13 species
AUGAAUUUUUCUAUUUCAGAUAUGUCUUCAGAGGAAACUACACAAAGUACAGAAGCACUUACAACCACUGAUUAUUACUCCACCAUAACACCAGCAGGAGAAACCAUUGUAUGCAACGUAACACGUACCUGUAAUUAUUCAGUGUUCUAUGUGGGCAAGGUAAAGCUUCGGGCAAGUGAAGAAAAUAAUGCAUCACUAAAUGUAGAAAUAGUAAGUAUUCUUUCUUUUAAAACUUUAUUGUGAGGAAGGUUGAAAUGAGUUUUUUUGUCUACACUUAAAAUACUGAUACCAUAACAUGAUUCUUACUGUGUUUGCAGUACAAGAUACUGUUUGCAGUGGAUGCAACAGCUCUGUUUUAAAAGCUGCUUUGCAGCUAGAUUUUAAAAUUCCAGCUAAGUUAACUUCCUACAGUAAGGACCUGUAUUCUCUGCAUGGCCACUGAAAGGAGGGGGAAGCUCUGGGUAAUCUCAAGAAUUUACCUUUAGGCACACGGGAUCUUCCUUUGGAGUUUAAUUCAGGCACUUGCCUUUAGAAGAUGAGCAUCAUUAGAUGGCAACUAUUUGGGCAUAAUUAAAGUUGGAUUAUAUCCUGGAAUAAUUCAUGUUGAGACUCUCAUAAAUAGUUCUAUUUUUUUGUGUUUAUUGUCAAUUAUGCUUUUGCAUGAUCAUUCUAUGUUCUUUGGCUUGUGGUUACUGAGUUAUUAAUUUUGCAAUAGGGUUAUCUGACAUGAGUGUGUCCAUUUUUACAACAGAAGAGAGUUUUGAGAGGACAGUGUCAU